UACUUCAGAUUAACUGAAUGUGACUACAAGAAAAGUGGGUUGGGUUAAGACCCAACCUAAAAAAAAUGUGUACUCUUUAUUUACCUAACGCAUGAUUCGGGUAUAAUGCGCCCAUUAAUCAUGUUAAACCAGUUU
rnacentral:misc_RNA from 1 species